AGCCAGUGUGGCAUAGCGGUUAAAAUGUCAUACUAAGAUCUGGAAGACCAGGGUUCGAAUCCCUGCUCGGCCA